rnacentral:rRNA from 1 species
GACGAACGCUGGCGGCGUGCUUAACACAUGCAAGUCGAACGCUGAAGCUCAGCUUUUGUUGGGUGGAUGAGUGGCGAACGGGUGGGUAACACGUGAGUAACCUGCCUCCUUCUUUGGGAUAACGCCCGGAAACGGGUGCUAAUACUGGAUAUUCACUGGUCUUCGCAUGGGGGUUGGUGGAAAGGGGUUUUCUGGUGGGGGAUGGGCUCGCGGCCUAUCAGCUUGUUGGUGGGGUGAUGGCCUACCAAGGCUUUGACGGGUAGCCGGCCUGAGAGGGUGACCGGUCACAGUGGGACUGAGAUCCGGCCCAGACUCCGACGGGAGGCAGCAGUGGGGAAGAUUGCACAAUGGGCGCAAGCCUAAUGCAGCGACGCCGCGUGAGGGAUGGAGGCCUUCGGGUUGUGAACCUCUUUCGCUCAUGGUCAAGCCGCAACAAUGGUUGUGGUGAGGGUAGUGGGUAAAGAAGCGCCGGCUAACUACGUG